UACGUAGGGGGCAAGCGUUGUCCGGAAUCAUUGGGCGUAAAGAGCGUGUAGGCGGCCAGGUAGGUCUGCUGUGAAAACUCGAGGCUCAACCUCGAGACGUCGGCGGAAACCAUCUGGCUAGAGUCCGGAAGAGGAGAGUGGAAUUCCUGGUGUAGAGGUGAAAUUCGUAGAUAUUCGCAAGAACACCAGUGGCGAAGGCGGCUCACUGGCCCGGUACUGACGCUGAGGUGCGAAAGCGUGGGGAGCAAACAGG
rnacentral:rRNA from 1 species